CCUUAAACUUGUCAUGUGUCAUGA
rnacentral:siRNA from 1 species